UCAAACUUGGUCAUUUAGAGGAAGUAAAAGUCGUAACAAGGUUUCCGUAGGUGAACCUGCGGAAGGAUCAUUAACGAAUCGAACAAAGUCGAUCGAUGGUGCUGGCAAGUUGUCUUGCAUGUGCACGUCGGUCGCAAAUCCACACACCUGUGCACCAUUAGACUCUGAGGGUUCGCUGGACUCGCGGUCGACUUGAGCACCCUUGCGGGAGUUCGUCGCUGUGGGAUCGGCUCGAGCCUUUUGGGUAUUUUUACACACACUCGCAUGUGAUUGGGAUGUCGAAUGUGCUCUUGAGCACAAAAAAAAACAAACAACUUUCAACAACGGAUCUCUUGGCUCUCGCAUCGAUGAAGAACGCAGC
rnacentral:misc_RNA from 1 species